rnacentral:lncRNA from 1 species
CUGGGUUUAGAAGGGUGGCCGCAUUGAUGUGUCUUCCUGCCCCAUUUUUUAUUGGAAAGAAGAAAUGCAGAAUUUUGUUCAUAAUACAUUUACUGGGGAUUUGGAUCCAAUGUGUGGCAAGCUUUGACGGCACUAUAACGUGGUCAACAGUGGUUGUUAGGUUUCAGUGGAAGUGUGACAUUUGGACAUCUUGUCUCAGGACUUUUGAUUGGUUGAAGGCCAUAGUGGCCUCAGAGUUGCUGGCACCAGAGCUAAGAGACAAUGGGUGAUGGCAUAACGUGGUUCAGAGAGCUGCUGCUACAGCCUUCGAAGGAGCUCCAGCAAGCCUAGACCACUAGAUCAGACUCUACACAGACCCAACCCCAACCUGGUUUCUGCAUAAAGACCAACUCUUCAGAAAGGAAGGCUUUUAUUAACAUCUGUCACUCUCCCUCCACCCCCUCCUUCAGUGACAUGAUCCAGGACAAGCUGCUUCAAAUGCUGGAGGAAGACCAAGCUGUUUUUGCAUCCCCAUGUAUCUGGUCACAGGCUGAACUGGAUGCAAAAGGCCAAUGUUUAUGGCAGAGCUGUGAUUUAUUGCAGGAGUCGUGGUCACCAUUGCCAGGAAGGACCUUGUGGACAAAUACAGCUUGUAGCUGAAUCCAGAACAGCACAUGUUGAAAAAAAUCAGCCUUUUCUAGGCUCCAUCUUGCAGCAGAACAUCUGCUCCCAGUAGCCCUAGGAUCCAAGAGCUGGGGAGCCUGUGUGCCCCUGGCUCCCAGACAGCUGAGGGAGGACAUGAGAAGCCUUACCUUACCCUUUGGCUGGAGGUACCCGACCUCCCACAACUGGAUGGAGACCUGGGGCUGUUGCUGGAGAUCAGGGGGAACCAACUGGUGAUGGGGAGCCCCCAGCAGCUGUAUCAUCUGCAUGCUUCCACCCCUGUGUGCAACUUUGAGGAGGGCAAGGCAGCUUUUCACCAGAAGAGAAAGCAACCAAUGGUGGCCAUGCC